GUUCCCUUUGGCCCUCCUCAUUUUCUCAACCUGAUUUCGUCCUUUGUUUUCUUUCACCUCCUUCUUGCCGCCUGCCUUCACCGCUUUUCUUUCUCUCUCCUCGUUUUGAUUUGCUUUUAGAUAGAGACACGAGUUCAAGGCUGAAGUCGUAGAACAUUGCAGAGAAAAAAUUAUUAGCAAAUUGAGCAAAGAAGUAGAGAAGAGAAAAAGAAGAUCCGCCAGAGAAGGAUGAUUUGGAUGUUAAAAAAUCAAAAUUGAUAUUCAAUAGUUGCAGGAAGCAUUUUCUUUGUCUCUCCCUAUGAUUGUAUUCCCACUACCCAGGAUGCCAAUGCCGCAACAAAAACCCCUUUCUGGAACUUGAGUUUCUACAGAAUCUGUCUUUAGAGACUACAAGUUGGUUCCGGACACGCUUUACCUGAUUGUGAGUCUCAUUGAUUGUUACCUUUUUGGAAUUCCCGAUUGAGAGCAAAAACUGCAGCUUCUGGGAGUAACCUGCAUGUUGAUUGCCUAGCUUGAUCGUUUGGUUGACUUUAGAGACUUAGAUUACUUGGCAAAUUAUCAAGCAGAACUGGCUCUUGUAGAGUUAUGCUUUCUCGGAUUCCUCCCUUCACUCAUUGUUGCUUCUACAGUAUUUCUUGCAUAUGGACGCUUGAUCAAUUUGAUUAUCCACGGGAAAUGGGGAUUAUAUCCCAGAAAUUAUUUCCAAGAAUGUGUGUAUGUUGUCCUGCACUAAGGUCCAGGUCCAGCCGCCGUCCAGGCAACCUUUUAAGCGCUAUAAAAAGUUGAUUGCUGACAUUUUCCCCAAAUCUCCUCUGUUUUUAUUCUAGAGAAUCUCGACUGCUACUGUUUUAUUCUUGCUUUGGCUGCUAUUCUGCUCCACUAUUGCUGGUCUGCUGAGAUCUGUCUUGUUAUUUGAAGGCUGGACAUAUUGCAAUGCGGUAGAUGGAGCUUGUUUGAAGAGUCUUGUUUUUAGCAAGAGUUGCCUCUAUUUAACUUUUGGAAGUUUGUAUUUUUCAUUGUUGAGCAUGUGUUUGCUCCUUUGUUUUGUUUUUUAGUAGUUGUAUAGGUUUUGGUUUGUUUUGUUUGUGAGUGGUUGUUUUUUUCAACCUUGUAAAUACACAGUUCGUCUUUAGUUACCAAUUUUAAUACAAUUAUGAUUUACCAAAAAAAAAAAAAGUAGAGUUGACAAUUCGGUUA